UGGCGCCUGUUUAUCAAAAACAUGGUUUUUUGUUAUUAUAAAAAAUCUGGUCUGCUCACUGCUAAAGUAAAUAGCCGCAGUAUAUUGACUGUGCUAAGGUAGCAUAAUCAUUUGUCUUUUGAUUGAAGGCUAGUAUGAAUGGCUUAACGAGAUAAAAUCUGUCUCCAGAGAAGAGUUUGAAUUUGAUUAUUUAGUAAGAAGGCUAAAAUAUUCCUGAGGGACGAUAAGACCCUAUUAAGCUUAAUUUUUGAAUUUUGCUGGGGCGGUAAUUUAAGAUUAAGAUCUUAAUAAGGAAGUUUAAACUAUUAGGACCCAAUAUUAUUGAGUGAUAGAUAAAGCUACUAUAGGGAUAACAGCUUAAUUUUUUUAAUGAGUUCUUAUUUUAAAAAAAGUUUGUGACCUCGAUGUUGAAUUAAGGAUUCUAUUUGGCGAAGUUGCUAAAUGAGAGAGUCUGUUCGACUUUUAAUACUUUACGUGAUCUGAGUUCAGACCGGCCAUGGAA
rnacentral:rRNA from 1 species